rnacentral:rRNA from 1 species
UACGGAGGGUGCAAGCGUUAUCCGGAUUUACUGGGUUUAAAGGGUGCGUAGGUGGGCAGGAAAGUCAGUGGUGAAAUCUCCGGGCUUAACCCGGAAACUGCCAUUGAUACUAUUUGUCUUGAAUACUUUGGAGGUAAGCGGAAUAUGUCAUGUAGCGGUGAAAUGCUUAGAUAUGACAUAGAACACCGAUUGCGAAGGCAGCUAACUACAGGGAUAUUGACACUGAGGCACGAAAGCGUGGGGAUCAAACAGG